GCGGGAGGUGCAGGUGCUGGAGGGCGGCGCCCGGCUUCUACUUUCAAAACACCGCCGGGGAGGGCAGUCACGCUAUAUUUCUGGGACAGGGAGUGAGUUCACCGGGGGAGGACACAGCGUCCCCUUGUUAUCACAACGUGGGUAACAUUCGGUAAUAAAACGCGCUCGGACAGGAUGUAUUAAACGAAUUGGGAACCGGAGCUGCUCUUUCCAUAAGCAAUCAAGCUGGGGAAACUUUACAAGGAAAGCUUUAAAUUGCGAUGCAUGGCGCAGGAGUGUGGUUCGUGUGACAUGCUUACAGAGAAAGGAACCAGAGCAAGGACGGUGGCUUUGGGACGAAAUUUCUGUCCGCUCUGCACAAAGACUAAUUACAGAGUCGUGAUUUGGGGCAUGCUCUCAUUCCUCCCGGAAGCUUUCUUUGCAGUGUUUUAUUUUAAAAUCAGAGGUGGUUGAUCUCCCUGGCAUACGAACAUGAGAGACCUCAUUUAUAUGGUGACUCAAAAGCCCCAAGGACAUAAAAAAGGUGCCACGUUUUAAGACACCAGAAUCUAAGUUCCUUCUCAAGAUCAUGUGAGCAAAAAGUGUUUUGCCCGCACAGAUAUCUAUUUACAUAAUUAAAAUGUUUGUAGAUUUGCAGAUAAAUCAAGUUUAGAGGACAAAACAAAAAAUGUUACCACGAUAGUUUUUAACACAAGAGCACCCCAGUCAACUGAAAGCUUGGGAAAUUCCACAUUAGUUUAUUUUCUAUGUACUUAAACUUUGAUUUGGUGAAUCUAUGCUCUCUUAUUUCCCUAUUAUGACUCUUAGGCCUAUAGUGCCUAGUUACACACACAUUUGUUUUUGUGAUACAUGUAACAUUAUAGGAAAGGGGGGAUUCUCUAGGGUUAGAAUAGACACAAUAAACUCCUAGGAAGCUUUCUCAAAAAUACAUAUUCUCAUCUCAGCUUACCAUAUGUGGGAAAAGGCAGCAAGAUUCACUGUUUAAUUUUAAAAUGUUCUACCAGCUGACUGAUUCUCACGUGGGAUUUUUUUUUUUUUUCCUGGUCUGCCCAGCACGCUUAAUUUCUUCUGGGACAGAACUGCCUACCCUUCCUGCCUGGAUUGUGCUUCUGCCUUUACUCUUCUAGAAUGUAGUUAGAAAGGGAGGUGUCAUUGUGUGUGGCCUUGCCUACUUGGUCCCCACACUUGGUCGAGAGGCAUAUACCUGACUCAAGAACAAUCUAUUGGGACAUUCAACCACAUCAGCAAAGAACCACAUCAUCAUUUCUAACAGCUGCACACUGUUGUUCGAGUAAAUCAAUGUAUUUCACAUUUUAGUAUUUCCUGUUUUAAAACAUUAUAAGACUGUGGUGAACACUGAAUAUAUGUGCUAAUAAGAAAGAAUUUUCCUAAAGCUUCCAGCAAACGUCUCUUGGAACUUCUAGUCAUAAUUGGAUCAUAGACGCAUUCCUGAUUUAAUCACUGGUAAAGGGGAAGGUGCUAACAGAAUUGAUCUAAUCUGAACUCACUUCUGGACUUGGG
rnacentral:lncRNA from 10 species